rnacentral:rRNA from 1 species
UACGUAGGGUGCGAGCGUUGUCCGGAAUUAUUGGGCGCAAAGAGCUCGUAGGCGGUUUGUCACGUCUGCUGUGAAAUCCCGAGGCUCAACCUCGGGCCUGCAGUGGGUACGGGCAGACUGGAGUGCGGUAGGGGAGAAUGGAAUUCCUGGUGUAGCGGUGGAAUGCGCAGAUAUCAGGAGGAACACCGAUGGCGAAGGCAGUUCUCUGGGCCGUAACUGACGCUGAGGAGCGAAAGCGUGGGGAGCGAACAGG